rnacentral:rRNA from 1 species
GGCUUGUUGAUUAUAAUUUCAGGUCUGGCCUGCCCACUGAGGAUUUGAAGGGCCGCGGUAUACUGACCGUGCAAAGGUAGCAUAAUCACUAGUUUUUUAAUUGGAAGCUUGGAUGAAAGGUUUGAUGAGAAAAUAUCUGUCUCUGUGAAAAUUUAUUAGAAUUUUAUUUUUAAGUGAAAAAGCUUAAAUGUGUGUAGAAGACGAGAAGACCCUAUAGAGUUUUAUAUUUUUCAAUAAAAUGUGGACUUAGGGAGUAAAAAGUUUAUUUUUUUGGGCAAUAUUUUGUUGGGGUGAUAGGAAAAUUAAAAAAACUUUUCUUACAUGGAGACAUUGAUUUAUGGGUUUAUGAUCCUAAAGUUUAGAUUAAAAGAUUAAAUUACCUUAGGGAUAACAGCGUAAUUUUUUUUAGAGUUCUUAUCGAAAAAAAAGAUUGCGACCUCGAUGUUGGAUUAAAAUUAAUUGCUGGUGUAGGAGCUAGUAGAUUGGGUCUGUUCGACCUUUAAAAUUUUACAUGAUCUGAGUUUAAACCGGCGUGAG